UACAGAGGGGGCAAGCGUUGUUCGGAAUUACUGGGCGUAAAGGGCGCGUAGGCGGCCAACUAAGUCAGACGUGAAAUCCCCAGGCUCAACCUGGGAACUGCGUCUGAUACUGGAUGGCUCGAGUUCGGGAGAGGGAAGUGGAAUUCCAGGUGUAGCGGUGAAAUGCGUAGAGAUCCGGAGGAACGCCAGAGACGAAGGUGGCUACCUGGCCCUGACCUGACACUGAGGCGCGAAAGCGUGGGGAGCGAACCGG
rnacentral:rRNA from 1 species